UACGUAGGGUGCGAGCGUUAAUCGGAAUUACUGGGCGUAAAGUGUGCGCAGGCGGCUAAGCAAGUCGAGUGUGAAAGCCCCGGGCUUAACUUGGGAAUUGCGCUCGAAACUACUUGGCUGGAGUGUGGCAGAGGAAGGUGGAAUUCCACGUGUAGCGGUGAAAUGCGUAGAGAUGUGGAGGAACACCAGUGGCGAAGGCGACUCUUUGGCCUGUAACUGACACUGAGGCGCGAAAGCGUGGGGAGCAAACAGG
rnacentral:rRNA from 1 species